UUUAUGGGACGUAUUUUUCAGAAGUACACACAAGCCAAGCACUGUUAUAAAGGAACCUCCUAAGCUUUAAGCAGAGAUCUGUUCGGUCUUGUUUAAAAGGACCAUAAUAAGUGAUUAAUUCCCCUUAGGAUGUGCAGGAGAGGAAAAGGCAGACAUGAUUAUACACACAAUGCACAUAAACUAGGAAAUAAGCCACUCAUAAUGGGUAAAUACACUUGCAUGCCAGCGAUAGAGGGGUAAAAUGUUAUGCAUUCAGUGGCCUAAAGAUCUCACAGUUAGUUCAGGGUUUAAACAGAUAAAUUAUACUUGAUAUUUUUCCAGAGUCACCCUUUUCUCUCAUUCGAUUUCUUGUGAGAUAAUGUUUAUAGGAAAAAUACACAACUGCACCUUAUAAUUUUCAACAAUCAGCUACUACGAGUUAAACUCCAUCACCUCUAUUUAGAAGGGAACGCUUCUCCCUUCAGCGCUGGCACAGUCAAUUGUCUUAGGAAAGCACAAAUCAUCACUAAGUUCUGAAACUUUCUGGAAGGUGAUGACACGUUUACCACAAACCUCCACAUGAUGUUUUCAGGAUCCUCCACGAAGCAGUGUUAAGGUUCCCAGGUAGGUGUGUCCUGAUCAUUAACUUCAAUUGCAUGUUGCCUUCUAUGUGAGAAGUACUGCCCAAAGAUCAUGAUCAAUAGAAAAGGAGUGAGCGUCCCCAUUCUUAAGGAGCACAAAGUCCACUGGGAGAGACAAGAUGAACCAGCAAGAACACAACCCCUACUGGAACCAUAAAAGCAAGCACUAGACCCUUGGAAUACAGAGAAGAAUGGGCCAGGGCGCUGCCCUCACGGGGGAUACCUACUGCCUAUGGAAAAAAGACAUGCAGCAAAAACCCGUGGAAUGAUGACUGUAAGAGACAUGUGCAAAUGGCAACCCGCAAGCCAUUCUUCUGCCUACUCCUGAUUUCUUUCACUUAUGCUCUUUAUAUAGACCACUUCCUCUGCUGACAGUGCACUUAGUGGAUGACUAGGGUCUACAUCAGAGAUCUCCCAAUUACAGCCCAGGGCCUGUCUUGGAACAGCCUGCAAGCUAAGAAUGAUUUUCAUGUUUUUUAAAUGGUUGGGGGAAACAAAAAUAAGAAGAAGAAUAUAGGAAAUUCAAAUUUCAGUGUUCAGAAAUAGUUUUAUUGGAACACAGCCAUGCUCCUUCGUUUAAGUAUUUUCGGUGGCCAUUUUCAUGCAGCAAGGGCAGAAUUGAAAGAGUUAUGACAGAAAACAUUUGGCCCACAAGACCAAACAUAUUUACUACGUGGCUUAUUAAAGAAAAAAGUUUGCUGACCCCUGAUUUGGAUGGUUUGGACCUUAUCUAAGAUAAGAGUAAAUUAAAUCAAUAUCAGAAAUUAUUAGUUUAAUUAUUGAACUCAUAAAAGUGGGACUCGUAGUGGCUUCUGAUGGAGCGUAUUUGGUAACCAUCCUAGAACAAAUAUCCCCCCUAAGUCAAUCUUAAAUAACGCUUUGAAAAAAAAAUACCCAUCACCACAUUUGGUCUUGGUGAAGUAGCACGAGCAUUAGUUGUAUAGAUUAUAAAAUAUGAGAUACGAAAAUGUUAUUUGAAUACAAAAUUAGUGUCAUAUUACCUUUACAAUAUAGUUGGUUCACACCUGCAGCACCUAAUCAGCAAACAUUUACAGAAUAAGUACUUCAUUCCAGAUACUCCGCUAAAGAGUAAGGAUAGAAGAUGAGGUUGACACAGUUCCUUAAAGGAAUUUAUAAUUUAUCAGGAAAACAAAGCCAACGCAAAAAAAAUGUGGGUGAGAAGAUGCUGUACAAUAAAGCCUCAGGAUCCUUUUCCCUCA